UACGGGGGGGGCAAGCGUUGUUCGGAAUUACUGGGCGUAAAGGCUCGUAGGCGGCCAACUAAGUCGGAUGUGAAAUCCCCAAGCUUAACUUGGGAACUGCAUCCGAUACUGGAUGGCUUGAAUCCGGGAGAGGGAUGCAGAAUUCCAGGUGUAGCGGUGAAAUGCGUAGAUAUCUGGAGGAAUACCGGUGGCGAAGGCGGCAUCCUGGACCGGCAUUGACGCUGAGGAGCGAAAGCUAGGGGAGCAAACAGG
rnacentral:rRNA from 1 species